rnacentral:lncRNA from 1 species
CUGGAGGUGCUGGACAGCGAGCUGCGUGCGGAAGACGUGCAGCUUCUGCUGCUGAGACUCCAGGAGCUGCGCGUCAGGACGGGCGGCGAGGGCGACACGCGCGCCGAGACUCACCGGUCGAAGGUUCAUCUGUACAUCACUGAUGACUGCAAACUCAAGAGUGAAAGUGUUCAGCACAAAUAAAUGAUCGGCUACUGCAACAGCGGUCAGGAGCGGCGAAGUAAAUUGCCACAACACACGAUCGUCGCAACACGUGAUCAAAGCAUUAUGCGAUCGACGCAACAUGCGUUCCAUGAAACACUUCUCCCUUAUACAGAUUAUGAAAUUAUAACUUUCUCUUCUUAGACGCUACUCACAAUACUCACAAGCGACAAAUCCUUGAUAAUUAAGACGAACGUUUUCCAUACAAAGGAGCGGAUCAUCUAGCAAAUGCAGGAUCUUAGACCAAUUGUGCACCUCCGUCGUUUCAGCCCUUGUUGAACGUUCCAUAAUGUCGGAACUAUUGCUGCGUGUCCACAGACAUUUAAUUAAUCCGCUACUUAGGACGAUGAAUGUGGCCAUAAUUUACAUGUCAUCACAAUGCAAAAAAUACUUAUUUGUAUUGAAUUUGUAAAAGUUUACAGUUCGGCAA